rnacentral:rRNA from 1 species
CCUACGGGAGGCAGCAGUGGGGAAUAUUGGGCAAUGGACGCAAGUCUGACCCAGCAACGCCGCGUGAAGGAAGAAGGCUUUCGGGUUGUAAACUUCUUUUAAGGGGGAAGAGCAGAAGACGGUACCCUUUGAUUAAGCAACGCCAACUACGUGCCCGCAGCCGGGGGAAUUCGGAGGUUGGAAGGGUUGUCCGGGUUUACUGGGUGUAAAGGGCGUGCAGCCGGAGAGACAAGUCAGAUGUGAAAUCCACGGGCUCAACCCGUGAACUGCAUUUGAAACUGUUUCCCUUGAGUGUCGGAGAGGUAAUCGGAAUUCCUUGUGUAGCGGUGAAAUGCGUAGAUAUAAGGAAGAACACCAGUGGCGAAGGCGGAUUACUGGACGAUAACUGACGGUGAGGCGCGAAAGCGUGGGGAGCAAACAGGAUUAGAUACCCCUGUAGUC